rnacentral:rRNA from 1 species
CCUACGGGAGGCAGCAGUGGGGAAUCUUAGACAAUGGGGGAAACCCUGAUCUAGCCAUGCCGCGUGGACGAUGAAGGCCUUAGGGUUGUAAAGUCCUUUCAGCUGGGAAGAUAAUGACGGUACCAGCAGAAGAAGCCCCGGCUAAAUUCGUGCCAGCAGCCGCGGUAAUACGAAUGGGGCGAGCGUUGUUCGGAAUCACUGGGCGUAAAGCGUACGCAGGCGGUCAUGAAAGUUAGGAGUGAAAGCCCUGGGCUCAACCCAGGAAUUGCUCUUAAAACUCCAUGACUGGAGUACUGGAGAGGUUGGCGGAAUUCCGAGUGUAGCAGUGAAAUGCGUAGAUAUUCGGAGGAACACCGAUGGCGUAGGCAGCCAACUGGACAGUUACUGACGCUCAUGUACGAAAGCGUGGGGAUCAAACAGGAUUAGAUACCCUGGUAGUCCACGCCCUAAACGAUGUGUGCUAGUUGUCGGGAUCUUAAGAUUUCGGUGACGCAGCUAACGCUUUAAGCACACCGCCUGGGGAGUACGGUCGCAAGAUUAAAACUCAAAGGAAUUGACGG